GACGAACGCUGGCGGCGUGCCUAAUACAUGCAAGUUGAGCGCUGAAGGUUGGUACUUGUACCAACUGGAUGAGCAGCGAACGGGUGAGUAACGCGUGGGGAAUCUGCCUUUGAGCGGGGGACAACAUUUGGAAACGAAUGCUAAUACCGCAUAAAAACUUUAAACACAAGAUUUAAGUUUGAAAGAUGCAAUUGCCUCACUCAAAGAUGAUCCCGCGUUGUAUUAGCUAGUUGGUGAGGUAAAGGCUCACCAAGGCGAUGAUACAUAGCCGACCUGAGAGGGUGAUCGGCCACAUUGGGACUGAGACACGGCCCAAACUCCUACGGUAGGCAGCAGUAGGGAAUCUUCGGCAAUGGACGAAAGUCUGACCGAGCAACGCCGCGUGAGUGAAGAAGGUUUUCGGAUCGUAAAACUCUGUUGGUAGAGAAGAACGUUGGUGAGAGUGGAAAGCUCAUCAAGGGACGGAAACUACCCAGAAAGGGACGGCAAACUACUU
rnacentral:rRNA from 1 species